CAUUAAGUCUCCUUCCAGUUUCCAAUGCCCAACAUGGUUAAUUGAAUUCCUCUGCUAGCUAUUCAUUCUCCUAUACACCAUUUGAUUUUGAAAUUAAAAUUAAGAAAUGUUUGAGUUCAAAUUAAACUCAACAUUGGUUUAUCCACCCGGUCUUCUCUCUCUCAACUCUAUAGUAUAAUUUUUUCUCUUCCAUCCAGUGAACCUGAAUGUUGCGGGAAUGUCCGCACGUAUUCUAAUUUCACAAACAUGCUGAAAGAAGUCCCUAUUCAGUUCUUUACCAGCUAUUCUAUGGAGACUCACUCAAGCAGAGGAGGUGAUCUCAUCCAAAUGUGAGAAAUUUUCAUGUAACCCAGGGCUGCUUGCGGCAAUUUUCUCUACAGAUAAGUUUUAUGACCCUCUAAUGAAGUUUAAAACAUUAUAUGGUCAAGUAUUUUGUUCAUCAUUUGCAGACCAUUGAUAACAAUUUUGAGUGUCUAGAGGAAUUUCUUUUCCAUUGGCUCUAACAAUUAUGAAUGCAUUUUUUUCAUGGAAUUUGAUUAGCAAUUUUUGGCAGACGAACUCAAUUUUGUAAGCUUUUCCAUAUUAACUUGAGUUUAUAACAUCACAGUUCAUGGCCUCUGUUUGUGUAGGCUCUGUACGAAUCACUUUCGAUCUCUUCCUCUUCUCCUCUGAGAUCUUCCACUGAAUGCAUGUUCUUGCGCUUGCAUUUUGAUCACUUCUGUAACAGAUUCACGAGCUGACGAAAGAAUUCGAGGGUGGUUCUUUGUGUUGCGGAAGCUUCAACUCUAAUCUCAGUUCUCAUAUGGAAAGAUGAGGAACAAGUUUGUUUCAUCAAAGCAAAGGAAGAUUUAACACAAGUAUAUUUUGAGUUUUGCUUUCACAAGAUAUUGCAAUUCCCGAGAGGAACAGGAAAUAGAGCAUAACUAUGUUGCUUGAAUUCUGGCCAUCUCGUGAAGCCUCCUCGCUGGUUGUGUUGUUUAAGUGGGUGUUUGCUUUCAUUUUGGAGUUUAAGCCAAUUCUGUUUUGGCUGCCCUUUAUUUCCGUUUUGUUCUUCUUAGCAGGGUUGUCUUUUGCUUUUUUGUACCUGUUAUCCUUAUGCUAUAUAUAUUAUAUUUCUUCAAUACAGUACAAGCUUAGUUCUUAAAUGUAUACCAAGAUGAUCUUAAAUGUAUAUCA